rnacentral:lncRNA from 1 species
AUAGAUCCUUGAAAAAUAUAAUCAAUAAAAAGAAAAAGAAGUGAAAAGAAAAAAAUGAUCAUUUUUCCUUUGUUUUCGAUGAUUUUUCUUAUAUUUUUCAUUCAUUUUUUCGGUCAGGACUCCCAACCAAGUGGGAGGUUUGGAGCGGCCAAAUAGAGAAGUUUAGAUGGCGGCCGGGGUUUCCGUCGAUUUUUUCUUCAUUUUUUCAUCCUUAGGAGUCCCAACUGGGUGGGAGGUUUGGAGC